rnacentral:tRNA from 1 species
UCUCUGGUGGACUAGUGGUUAGGCCCCAGUGCUGUCACUGCUGUGACCCAGGUUCAAUUCCUGGCAAGGGAG